rnacentral:rRNA from 1 species
AAACUUUCAACAACGGAUCUCUUGGCUCUGGCAUCGAUGAAGAACGCAGCGAAAUGCGAUAAGUAAUGUGAAUUGCAGAAUUCAGUGAAUCAUCGAAUCUUUGAACGCACAUUGCGCCCGCCAGUAUUCUGGCGGGCAUGCCUGUUCGAGCGUCUUUAC